rnacentral:tmRNA from 1 species
GGGGCUGAUCGGUUUCGACGGUGACCUGUUCGUCGCAGGGAAGCGUGCCGAGAACGUAGGGUCCGCUCGUGGAUGACCCCUACACAAGAAUAAGUGCUAAAUCUAACCGCACUGAGUUCGCUCUCGCUGCCUGAGCUUCGCGCCAGGAUUAACCAGUGAGCAGCCGCUCCGUUCACUCCUUCUC